rnacentral:rRNA from 1 species
AUUGAACGCUGGCGGCAGGCCUAACACGUGCAAGUCGAACGAGUGGCGGACGUGUGAGUCAUGUCUGGGAAACUGCCUGUUGGAGGGGGAUAACUUCUGGAAACGGUAGCUAAUACCGCAUACCAUCGGAUGUUCCCAGAUGGGAUUAGCUAGUAGGUGGGGUAAAGGCUCACCUAGGCGACGAUUCCUAGCUGGUCUGAGAGGAUGACGAGCCACACUGGAGCGGAGACACGGUCCAGACUCCUACGGGGGGCAGCAGUGGGGAAUAUUGCACAAUGGGCGCAAGCCUGAUGCAGCCAUGCCGCGUGUAUGAAGAAGGCCGUCGGGUUGUAAAGUACUUUCAGCGGGGAGGCGUUACCCGCAGAAGAAGCAAAGGCUUACGCCGUGCCAGCAGCCGCGGUAAUUC